GGAUAGAGCAUUGUAAUUAUUGCUCUUCAACGAGGAAUUCCUAGUAAGCGCAAGUCAUCAGCUUGCGUUGAUUACGUCCCUGCCCUUUGUACACACCGCCCGUCGCUAGUACCGAUUGAAUGGCUUAGUGAGGCCUC
rnacentral:rRNA from 1 species